ensembl:lncRNA
UAUUUUUAUUUUUUUUUAUAAAAAAAAAAAUAUAUAAUAAUCAUUAAUUAUAUAAUUUUUAAAAAAAAAGUAAUAUAUACUAUUAGUUACAUAUUUAAAAAAAUAAAUAAGAAUUGUACAUAAUGUACACAAAAAUAUAAAUAGUAAAAUACUAUAGACAUAACAAAAAUCGUACACAAAAUAAAAAUCAUGAUAUUUACAAAACUUUCCUGCUUUUAUAUGCCAAUUUUAAUCAUAAGUGUGAGUAUUUGGCAUGAGUUGUUAAUUGUGAAGUUAAACACAAAACAACACGUAACACAAUCGCACAGAUAUGUUGCAUGUGAACAACCAAAAUUAAAAAAAGAAACAUUCGGAAAAGUUUAUUUAGAAAAUAAUAAAAUUUUAGACGCUCUACAAAAUGGGUUAGAACAUGGGUUAGAACAUGGGCAAGAAGUACAACAACUGAAUAUAAAAAAGCAUGUAAUAACUGGAAAAAUAAACAAACAUAUAAAACAAAGACCAAUACAAGAGAAAGAGAAAACUCCAAGCAGUAAGAAUAACCUUUUCCACAAUAAGAAAAAUAGUAAAAAUGGAAAAAAUGACGAAAUUAACUUCAGUGAUUUAACGAAAAGUAAAAAAUAUACUACUCGAAACGUAAAAAAUAAGGGGCAAAACAAAUUACAUAAUAGUGUCUGUGAAGGAGAACCCAGUAACUGCAUAAAUAAAGAAGUUGACAGUUUUGUUAAGGUAAUGGAUGGUAUUUAUAAUAGUCAAAAUAAACAGGAUGUAUAUAAUAAGGUAAAUAAUGAUAAUGUAUAUGAUGAUGAACAUCAUACAGUUAUUGUUUAUGAUGGUCUUGACAAAAGUAAAGAUGUAUAUAAAAAAUUAAAAAAAAAAUCAGAUGAAAGUAUGCAUACAGAUGUUAUACAAGGAACAGAAUAUUUGGGAGUAGGUUAUGAUAUUAUUUUUGGCAACCCGAUUGGAGAUCCUUUUUUAAAAGUAGAUCCUGGUUAUAGAGAUUCUAUAAUAAAAUUAACAUAUCCUAAGUCAGAUGCAGAUUAUCCCAAAGGUUAUAAAAAUAUAAAUCCUAAUGGUUCAUAUGUGCGAAAUGAAAUUUCUUGUAAUAGAUCUGAACAUGAUAAUGAAGUAAGUAGUAUGAAAGAUUAUUCCAAAGAACUUUCUGUUGAUGCUUCUAUAAGUGCUUCUUAUGCAUUUUUUGGUUCUUUUUCAGCAUCUGCUGGUUAUCAAGACAUGUUUAAUACUAUUUCUAAAAACAAAACUAAAAUAUUUAUACUAAAAAGUUAUUGUUUUAAAUAUUUAGCAUUUUUAUCUCAGUAUUCUCAAUGGAAAUUGACUGAUCAAUUUGUAAGAGCCAUUGAUCUACUUCCUUCUUAUUUUAAUUCUUUAGAGCAUGAUGGUAUUUUUUGUGAAGCGAAUGAUUACAGAAAUGACAAUAAAACAAACAAGUGUGGAAAAAGUGUUGGAUCAUGGAUGUUUUUUUUUAAAAAUUUCGGUACACAUGUUUCAACAUUAAUACAUUUAGGAGGGAAAAUAACACAACAAGUGAAAAUAUCAAAAAGUGCUUACAAAUCAUUAACUCAAAAAUCAGUUAGUGCUUCUGUAGGAGCAUCUGCUAGUUUUGGUUUGUUUAGCGCAUCUGCAUCUGUAAGUACUGGUUCAAAUACAUCAAAUAAUGAAGAAAGUUCAAAUUCGGAUAUGGAAAAAGAAACUGUAAUAAUAGGAGGGAUCACAAUUUAUAAUCCUAAUGAUGCUAAAAAUUUUGAAAAAUGGGCUGAAAGUGUAAAAGAGAACCCUAUGCCUAUAAAAGGACAAUACGAACCAAUAUCUCGUAUUUUACC